CUUCAAUGAUGAUACGAUGACGAGUCGGAGCAGGACUUACUAUGUUUUGUUGGGUUCUGGUUCAGAGCCACGUUCUGUGGUUCUGCUCCAGGUCCUCAGAGCAGGAAGUCCUUUUCAGUUGAAGACAUCGAGGCAUUUGUCUGAGAAGG